GUGGGGAAUAUUGGACAAUGGGCGAAAGCCUGAUCCAGCCAUGCCGCGUGUGUGAAGAAGGUCUUCGGAUUGUAAAGCACUUUAAGUUAGGAGGAAGGGUAGUAACCUAAUACGUUGCUACUUUGACGUUACCGACAGAAUAAGCACCGGCUAACUUCGUGCCAGCAGCCGCGGUAAUACGAAGGGUGCAAGCGUUAAUCGGAAUUACUGGGCGUAAAGCGCGCGUAGGUGGUUCAGUAAGUUGGAAGUGAAAUCCCCGGGCUCAACCUGGGAACUGCUUUCAAAACUGCUGAGCUAGAGUACGGUAGAGGGUGGUGGAAUUUCCUGUGUAGCGGUGAAAUGCGUAGAUAUAGGAAGGAACACCAGUGGCGAAGGCGACCACCUGGACUGAUACUGACACUGAGGUGCGAAAGCGUGGGGAGCAAACAGGAUUAGAAACCCUGGUAGUCC
rnacentral:rRNA from 1 species